CCCAAAAGCAAGCAGGUACUGGGCAGAAAAGCAACAGGAUCCCCUGAGGAGGAGGAGAAGAGUGGCCGGUAAGCCUGUAAGAUUGCCAAGGCCAUGAUUGAUGGACCAGUGUCUCACAGGUCCGACUUGGAGCAUAGAGGACAGCUGGAAGAGGACCGCCCUUACCCAGGAGAGAACGCAUCGAAUUCACUUGUCUUCCCUGUGCUGACGGUGUUGUACUCUGUUCCGCCUUUCACCGGCUUUGUCGUGUUACUGCACCCCCCUCUGUUCCCCUGGGGACGGUGCUCACCAGGCCAGCGGUCACCUGCCUUCACCCAAAGGUCCUGAGCAAACUCAUUUUUCCCUCUGAUUUAUAGCAAACAAGACACAACUAUUUCCACACGCUCCUUUGGUUCAACGUCACGGAUGUGAUAGUCACCCACGCUACAGCAAGCAGCUGCAGAUCACUCCUUCUCCUGGGUACACGGACUUCCACGGGGGUGAAUGUGCUGUGAUCGAUCUGCUCUGAUGAUGGAGUUUAGGGGGUCCCAGGCGGGGCUGCUCUGAACAGUGCUGCGGGGACCCCUCCGAUUAGCCAUCGAUCUGGAAGCCAGCACUGCGUCCCUCGUUCCUAAGCCAUUAUUUGUCUCGAAGGGUCAGGUCAAAGUUUGUAGUCAGGCCUGGAUUUAGCCGGUCUGAUCUCUGUCACAGAGAAGUAUGAAGAACUACAGAGAGCAUGAGAGAGACAGAGACUAAAAGAGAGAAAGAGCGAUGCAAUAAAACAAAAUUUUUCUUCUGGCCAAACGGAGCGCAGUGGCCAGACCAGAGAAGCAUGGAGUGCCUGAGUCUCCCUGGGACACCCCCCCUGUACAUGGGCCUCAGCGCUCACACCCAGCCUCUGACAAUAACAACAAAGCCCGUUAGCGAGUCACUGCGUCCGUCAUGGACACACCACGGCCACACUUCCUCAGUGUCCGCCCACGCUGCUGCUUUCGUUGGACAACACACCCAAAGUGGAAUCCUUCAUUUUGCUGAGAAAGGCCCCGUUGUGUUUUAAAUUGCUUCCCCCCCGCCACUCUCUUUCUUUCUAUUUCCAUAUACGUUUGCCUUGGAGAUCGAAAUUCAGCCUGUUUAUUACUCAGGAAACAAAAAAGAAAAAACAAUCUCCGAACGAGCGCCGUGUGGCGUGACCGCAGCGUUUUUGGGGAGCGUGUGCAGUUUCCCACCGUCAGGACUUUCUACCUCGUUAGAGUCGAUGCUGAGACCCACACCCAGGCCGUGGAAAAGGGCUCUUCCACAACAGAUUGGCGGAGCACGAUGGCCCCGCCGCCUCCGCGGAUUAUUUCAACUUGGGGGUUUAAUGACAUGUGUACCAGCAAAGGCGGGUUCCCACCUGGUGGGGUUAGUCAAUAGCCACGUUUCCUGUUACCUAUUCCUUGAAAUAAAACAGGGGGGUGGGCAGUGGGGUAUUGUGAUGGGGAACCCGGAGGGAGCAGGCCUUCCACUGGCCACUGACUGACUGAACCAUGACAAUGGCCUCCUGUGGAUUGCGCAGGUGCAGUCAGGAGGCAGGUGGAAGCAUUUAUAACGUGCAGGGAACAUGGUCCGCCUGUCACUGAUGCUCCAUGACCACGUUGGGUAGGGUGAGAGUUUGGGAGGGACAUUCCGUCAAUGGCCUAUGCGAUUGUUCUGCAUCAUUGGUCAGCUCUUCUCUUGCAAGGGCUUAUGUUUGAUUGGAAAAGCUGCUUUUUCAAGCGGCUUUCAGCCCAAGGAUGGAGGCCAGACAAAGAACUGAAGGCCCGAGUCCUGCCUCUGCAACUCAGCUGCUAUUCGACCCUGGACAAGUCGCAGCGCCCCUGGGCCUGCAUCUCCCCACUGGUGAGUCUCGAACAAAAGAGACCGCCGGCGUGCAGUGCACUGGGUCACGGUGCAGCCCUGCUCUCGGCCAGUGACAGGAGCUGCGACGAGCUACUCCCCCUGGAGAAGUGACUUGUACCGAACUCAUGUGCCAGCUGAUAAUAUAAAUGUUUGUCUCUGUCCUUCUGUCAACUUUCUGCUCUGCCUGUGGGUUCUGGGCCGUGUGAGGGAGCCGUCUGGACACAGAUGCAGUGGCGGAUUUGUCCCCACGGCGGAUUCUUCGGUCGGUGACCAGAGUGUGGGAGCGUGGGAAUGUGGCUGGGGAUGGGGCCGCUUCACUGACAGGUGCUUGUCACCAGGGCUUCUGACCUCUUUGAUGCCGCGAUUCUUGCUGUCCAGCGCUCACCAUGGCUGGGCAUGUGCUUCUACGUCAGAGGCUUCACCUGCAACACAGAGGUUGGACUCUCCUUCCAAACUGUAGGUUCCCGGUAGCCUGGACAGCGGCGGGUUCUCUGGGGUUCUUCUUCUGCUGCUGCCUGGCCUCUCCAGGGUCAAGCGGUCCAGCCCAGCACCCAGCAGUGACGGGCAUCCUGGCAGCAUGGUCUCCCCCCCGGGCUUUCGGGGACGUGUCCACUUGCUACCCUUACAUCACAAACCACCCCAAACUGUCUCCCAGUAACAUCUGCCUUGCUCAGGGCUGGGUGGAGGCAGCUUGUCUCAGCUCCACGUGGCUUCAGCUGGCAUGGCUCCCGGGUGGGAGCUGGAAUCACCUGAAGGUCAGCUGACUCUGUGUUAGGUGGCUGGUGCUGGCUGGCUGUCAGCGUGUCUAACUGCUCGGCCUCUCCCUGUGCCCUGGGCUUCCUUCCAUCCUGGUGGCUGCUUCCCGAAGGUGAGUGUCUUGUGGAGAGAGAGUGAGCCAGAUAGAAGUCAUAUCAGCCUUUAGGGCCUGGCCUGAGAAGAGUCCUUUCCACCACGUUUUGUUCACGGAGGCAGUUGUGAAGUAGCCCGGCACCCCAGUUUCAAGAGGAGGGGACACAGACUCCCCGUCCGGGUUCGGGGCAUGGCGGUGCUCCAACAGCACAUGUGGCAUCGUAACCACGGCCGAGCCAGUUGGGGAAACGCGUUCCGCCACAGGGACCCUUGUGAUGGCAAUGCGGUGGGUUCUCCUGGGAGAUUUUAUUUCUUUAUAUUUUUAAUCAUGAUUGGCGUAUUCAGGGCUACCUCAAAUGGUGAACUUCAGAUUUCUUGCUCUUUGACUGCAAUGUUUAUUUUUCUAAAAAGAUUUCACCUAUGUAUUUUUAGAGAGAGGCGAAAGGAGGGAGAAAGAGAGAGAGAGAGAGACAUCAAUGUGUGGCUGCCUCUCACGUGCCCCCUACUGGGAACCUGGCCUGCAACCCAGGCAUGUGUCCUGACUGGGAAUCAAACUGGUGACUGCUUGGUUCUCAGGCUAGCGGUCAAUCCACUGAGCCACACCAGCGAGGACAUGAAAUGUUUAAAAUGAAAACAAAAGUUUUUAAUAACAUUAUGGAGAAAACAGAGCACACAUUCAUAUGCUUUUAUUAAAAAUAUUGUUUGUCAGGAAUAAAAUAAGAUUCUCGUUGUUCAUGCCAGCACAGAGCAUGAACUUACAUUGGUAUUUGUUUCUGACGCUGGUGAAAGACCUGAUUUUUCGAGCGCUUUCCAAAGAAAUGCUACUCUCGCCGUCUGCACAGACUGCCAUCUGCUCAUGGCUGACUUGGGAGGUGGUCCAACUUCCUUCAAGGUCAUUGCAAGCAAACUUCUGUUACAUCUCAGUCAACACUUCACUUGGUGAAACUACUCAUAGACUCACAGGAUGAGUACAUUUCGGUGAACUUCAGCCAACAGCUCUCUGGAAUCCGUCUGCAGCUGCCCACUGACAGGGAGGCAGCCUUUCGGCGACACCCACAGCCACAUUCGCACAAACGAGAGCUCUGGAAAGCACGGGAAUCUGAACUAACCAACUCCCAAGGCACGGUCCAGAUUGGGCGGCCGCACGCCUUGUCCUCGAAGGUGAAACCAAGACUUUGCUCUGUGUCUUGAAAAGACACUGUGACGCUGGAAGAUCACUGUUUGCCUCAUGAACACCUGUGGCUUGGGAAUGCAUUUUAUUAAACAUUCCUGCCUCUCCCGGAACGAGACCUGUCCCCAGCUUUUCUGUCCCCAUCCUGGUAGAAGCCUCCGUGUCUCACGCCUCACCCAAGCCCCCGUCUGGGUUUUCUGUCCCUUCCUCCAGCCCAUGCUCCGGGUCCAAAGCCUUCAAUGGCUGUGAAUUCGAAUGUACAUUUCCCUUAUUUUACUUUUUUAUGGAAGCUAUUGGGGCGAUGCUGGUUAAUAACUUUAUACAGAUUUCAAGUGUACAACUAAUGCAUCAUCAUCUGUAUA